rnacentral:rRNA from 1 species
AGCAGCCGCGGUAAUUCCAGCUCCAAUAGCGUAUAUUAAAGUUGUUGCAGUUAAAAAGCUCGUAGUUGAAUUUCGGGAUCAAAUUGUCGGUCGUGCCUCGGUACGUACUGGCGUUAUUGGUUCCUCCCUUCUGAAGAACCGCGAUGUCAUUAAUUUGGUGUCGCGGGGAAUCAGGACUGUUACUUUGAAAAAAUUAGAGUGUUUAAAGCAGGCUCGCGCUUGAAUACAUUAGCAUGGAAUAAUGGAAUAGGACGUUUGAUUCUAUUUUGUUGGUUUCUAGGAUCGACGUAAUGAUUAAUAGGGAUAGUUGGGGGCAUUAGUAUUCAAUUGUCAGAGGUGAAAUUCUUGGAUUUAUUGAAGACUAACUACUGCGAAAGCAUUUGCCAAGGAUGUUUUCAUUAAUCAAGAACGAAAGUUAGGGGAUCGAAGACGAUCAGAUACCGUCGUAGUCUUAACCAUAAACUAUGCCGACUAGGGAUCGGAUGAUGUUAAUUUUUUUAAUGACUCAUUCGGCGCCUUA